AAAUCUCCGUAAACGUUAGAAAGGUCGCCGAUUAACACUUGCAACUCAGUGUCGUGAUGGUUUUAAAAAAAUUCAGAAGGUAGUAAAAAAGGUAUUAAAAAGGUAUUCAAUUUUACUUAAGGAUUGCUGUAUAUACCCUGUUGCAGAAUCAGGUGGAAGAAAGGAAUGCAUUGGCCUUGUAAGUCCUGCACAUUUGUCUCAUCCAAAAGAGGCCAGCUGCUGAAGCAUUGCAGACUAAAGCAUGGUGGUCUUACCAGAUCUUGCCCAAUACUAUGCCUCCAUCAAAAGUGCUUAUGUACAUUCAACUCGUUUAAUGCCCUGAAAGUGCACUUAUCAAAAUGUCACUCUCAGAUCACACACACCGAAGAAAGAGAGCAUGAGCACAUAUUUAACUGUCAGCUGUGUGAGUUUAAUGAGACAUGUACAGAACAAGACUUUCUCAGACACUUGCGCCAACAUCUAAAAUUAUUCCCAAAAAUUGAAUGUCCCUAUUUAGACUGCGAUUUUGAGACAAAUGUCUAUUCUACUUUUAACACACAUAAAAGUAGAAAUCAUAAUCAGACCUCUAUUGAUGUUAAUCUGGCGUUCAAGCCAGAGAUAGUUUCCCAGCUCUCCUGCUCUGAAGAGAGCGCUCCUGUUGCAUCUUUAGAUUAACUCACUAGUGAGGAUGAGGAAAUGGCAGACAUUGAUGUUCAGGACUUGGAUAUCCAACUGGAGCACAAUUUAGCAACAUUGUUCCUUAAAAUGCAAGCAAUUUUGAAUAUCCCUGAGAGUGCAACGCAAGAAGUAGUCCAGGAGAUCAGUCAACUAUUUGUGCUUUCUGAACCUUUAGUGUAUACUGCCAUUGAGGGGAUUCUCAAACAGCAUUAUCCUGAUGUUGACAGUAGUGUUAUCAAGGAGAUAAUGAGGGCUGUUGCUGAGACGAAUGCAUUUCUGAAGCACACAUCUAUAGGGGGGUCUCUUUCAACGUCUAGAAGGAGAGAAUCUUUCUUUGCCAAACAAUUUCCAGUAGUGGAACCUGUGGAAUAUGGCAGUAAGCAUAGUCAAACAUUAGUUUACAUUCCAUUGCUUCAAAUGUUCCAGGCUUUGCUGAGAAAAGAUGAGAUUUUAGACAAGUUUCUUUCUGCAAGUUGCUCUCAAUUGGGUGAUUUUUGUGACCACAGGGAUGGUUCUGCUUUUCACAACAAUGCCAUACUAACUGAUGAGGAGUUUAGAAUUGCCCUUGGCUUAUAUAUUGAUGAUUUUGAGGUUGCGAACCCGUUGGGGACAGCAAGGAAAAAGCACAAAUUGUGUGCUAUAUACUGGACUCUAGCUUAUCUUGCUCCAAAGUACCGCACAUGUCUUCAUGCCAUAAAGUUAGCAGUUUUAUGCAAGGCUACUGUAAUUAAGGAAAAAGGAUACCGUGAGGUUCUGCAGCCCCUCAUAAAAGACCUGGUGUCAUUAGAGGAGCAUGGGGUGUACAUUGAGAAGCUAGGUACAAGUGUAAAGGGAACUGUGUUGUAUGUCGCAGCUGACAAUCUGGCUGCCCAUUCCCUUGCUGGUUUUCAGGAGAGCUUUUCUGGUCACAGGGUGUGUAGGUUUUGCAUGGCUAGUAAGGAGGAGAUUCAGGAUUUUGAGGUCAGCUCAGGUUAUUUCACCUUGAGAAACAAGGAGGAUCAUGAUAGGCAUGUUCAGGAUGUGAUGCAGGACUCCUCAAAGGCACGGGAAUAUGGAGUUAAAAGAGAGUGUAUUCUUACAGAGAAUCUCUGUUAUUUCCAUGCUGUUCAUGGAUAUCCGCCCGAUAUAUUACAUGAUUUUCUGGAGGGAAUUGUACCUUUUGAGUUAGCUCUGUAUUAAAGAUCUGAUAAAGAAUAAAUACAUAACCCUUGAAGUGUUGAAUCAUGCAAUCAAGGAAUUCCCAUAUUCCUUCUCAGACAAAGUCAAUAAACCUCAUGAGAUUCCAAAGACCUUGGCUUCAAAAGUGACCAUAGGGGGAAAUGGACACGAAAAUUGGUGUCUGAUUCGAUUGCUCCCGCUAAUGAUUGGACAUCUUGUGCCAGAGGGGCAUGAAACCUGGGAAGUCUUAAUGGUGCUAAAAGACAUUUUGGAAAUGGUUGUUUCUCCUAGAUUUACAGAGGAGUCUUUGUAUCUCCUGGAAAAUAAGGUGUCAGAGCACAGACACCUACUUUUGGCUGCUUUUCCCAAUUGCAGGCUUCGUCCGAAGCACCACUAUAUACAGUAGAGCACUAUGCUCAACUGGUCAAGGUCUUUGGGCCGUUGAUUGAUAUGUGGACAAUGAGAUUUGAGGGAAAGCAUAGUUUUUUCGAAAAAGUCAUCCAUGAGAUGCAAAACUUCAAAAAUGUUGCCCUCACCUUGGCUAGAAGACAUCAGAAGAUGGUAGCAUGCCACUUAGAUGCAGCUUCAUUCUUUAAGCCAGAGCUUCAGGUGCAUAGCGUGAAAAGUGCAUUGCUCAGUUCAUUCCCAGGGAACAUUCAAGAUUUUGUGCAGCAAAGGUAUGGUGCACAUAAAACCGUUCUCUUGGCAGCAUCAAUAAUAGUUGAUGGGAUUAAAUAUGUGGCUGGUAUGGUGGUUUCUGUAGGUUCGUGUGCAGGGCUCCCUGAAUUCAGACAGAUUAAGCAGUUGCUCAUCAUUAACACAGAUGCCGUCUUCAUUUGCAGGCCAAUGAUUGCUUGGUAUCAUGAGCAUUUCCGUGCCUAUGAAUUAACUCAAGGCAGCGUCGGGCUAACUGCAAUUCUGAUGGCUGACUUCAAUGAUGUUCUUCCAUUGUCAGCUUAUAAAUUGAGAGGAAAGUGGUUUGUUUCUCCAAAGCGUUACAUCUUCUGCUAAUUACGCAUAGGCCUAGCCUUUCCUGUAAUUACUUUUAAUUAAUUUGAUCAGCUGUGAAUAGUCUGUCAUACUUGAUAUGAGUAGUGGCAGCAGUACUCAGCUGACAGUUAAAUGUUGUAUUGCCACCCUCAAUAUUUUUGUGACACAAUGUAAAUAUUUUGUUUUGUAGGAUUAUGGAAGACAAAUGGCAUAUCAGAGUAUUUGUGACUAAUGAAGACAUUAGAAAGGUCACUUUGCUUGGUUUUCCAUCUAAUGUUGAAACAUUGCUCUCACAUCUGAAACUUAAAUUGGGACUACAGUGUGAUUUCACUUUACAAUAUGAAGACCCUCUCUCUGGCAAUGCCCUCUGCAACCUGACUGAUAUGUCAGACUUACCAGAACGGCCUACAAUCAAGAUCAUCAGUUCUCUGGCCCUCACUCCAGCUCACUCCAGCUCCUUGAGCACCUGUAGCACAGAUAUCCUGAGCCCAAGAAACAAAGAUACCCAUAGGCAUGAUCCUUGGCCUUCUGAAUUUGAAAUCCAAGAAUUCUCUGUUGACAUCAAUUACAGGCUUAGACAAGGCGACCUUGUCUACAUGAGAGAUGGCACGCUGCUACAAAUGUCUCGGGACAUGAAACUUGCAAUCCUAGAAAGACUUGCAGAGGCCAUGUAUAAGUAUAUGGCGUACCCCCGAGAUUAUCACUUUUAUGAAGUUGCAGCUGCUCUCGUCAAGAAACACCCUUGUUUGAGGGAGCCUGGAUCCUAUAGUGGAUAUUGUGGAUGGAAAAAUAGUUUAAAAUUUAAAAUGGGAAACUACCGCACCAAGUUAAGGAGAUCUGGAAUGGCUGAUGUCACAGUGAUUGGCUGCAGAAGGCGCAGGGAUUUCCCGGACGAGGAUCCACCAAGCUGCAACAUCAAAAAGGCUAAAAGGAAUGAGACUUAACUUUUUGCCCAAUUUCCCUGAUGGAGAGGAUGAAGUUUCUCUUGAGGCAAUAAGGCGUGAACUUGACAUGGACGCUAAAAAAAGCUUACCUGAUGUGAUUGGCAUUAGAAAGAAGAUGGAUCAGACCUUCGCACUUAGAAGGAAGGAAAUUGUGGAGGAGCAACCACCUGUGUCGAGAAUGGUGGAGCGAUGGCCAGCGCUCUUCACGGAAACUCAAGUAAGAGACUAUGCAUAGAUAAUUGUAAGUGCAAUUUAUAGCAGAUCAUCUCCAUAAAAUGUUGUUGCUUAAAGUUGUUUGUGUAUGUUUUCAGAUUUACGAUGAAUUCUCAAGAGUUGCCAGCAAGAAUCUUCGUCAACAGUUCUAUGAAGCACUGGACCGUCACACACCCAGCCUGAUUCAAAUGAUGAAGUCCAAAAGAGGAAAAGUGGGCCAAUCCCUUGAAAGCUUUCUCCACCAGAUUGAUACUCAGAACAUCACUGUGACACGGACCAUUGUGCUGCGAUGUCUGCCAAUGUUUCUUGGAGAUGAUGACAGUGAGUUCUGCAGGACUUGCUUUGACUCGGACAACGGAGAGGACUCAGCCCAUGUGCCAGUGGGCAUACUUACCGUCAUCCCAGAGGAUGAUCCAAAGCCUAAUGCUGCUGGUUUGCACUUGCACCCUAGCAUCGUUGCGGUCAUUCUUGAGGGGGACCUAGUCUUGGAUGACUUGUCUUCAUAUCCAGAGGCGUUUUGUCUUUUGUUUGGACUUGUAUAUGCAUUGCACCUUGACUAUCCCAGAUCAAUGAGGUAUUCAUUUGAGUUCAUUCAAAAGAUCCUCUUGGAUAUUGGGCAAAACAAACUCAGCCCAAAAAUGCAAACCUUAAAAAAUGCUCUCAUGAGCUCAUAAGCACAGGGCACGAAAUCAGAAGUUGUUACGUUACUGUUCACAAGUUCAAUAAACUUACGUAUUUCCAGGUAAUCGGUUUCCUCAUUUUAUCCAAGUUCACUGAACUUACAAUUGCAGGGUAUUUGAGUUCAAUUUACUUUGAAAAAUGUAGUAUUGCUGAUUGCUUUUUACUCAUGUACUUGAGUUAUGAGAACUUUGUUUCUUUGGUAAGUGCCUUUAUUUGAGCCAAGUUCACUUUACUUAAGUAUGCCAAGAACACUUAACUUUGUUUUCUCUUAUUUUCACAACUGAAGUGAACUGAGUAUGGCCUACUCACUGUGCUAGUUUAUUUUAAUUGAACAAGUCACUUAGUGUAACUUAAACAGAUACGUUCUUUUGAGUAUUGCCUACUCACUGUGUGCUAGUUUAUUUUAAGUGAACAAGUCAAUUAGUUUAACUUAAACAGAUAAGUUCUUUUGAGUAUUGCCUUCUCACUGUGUGCUAGUUUAUUUUAAGUGAACAAGUCACUUAGUUUAACUUAAACAGAUAAGUUCUUUUACUUAAUUUUUUCCAGGUAAUCGGUUUCCACAAUUCUUUUAAGUAAAGUUAACUUAUCAGGUUUUACAGUGUACUUUUCGGCAUUAAUGGUGCCAUCACAGAAAUGUAAGUUACCUUUGCCAAGGGCACUGACACAACCCCAUACCAUGACAG